rnacentral:misc_RNA from 1 species
UACGGAGGGUGCGAGCGUUAAUCGGAAUUACUGGGCGUAAAGCGCACGUAGGCGGCUUGUUAAGCAGGAUGUGAAAGCCCAGGGCUCAACCUUGGAAUUGCAUUUUGAACUGGCAAGCUAGAGUUUUGAAGAGGGUGGUAGAAUUUCCAGUGUAGCGGUGAAAUGCGUAGAUAUUGGAGGGAAUACCAGUGGCGAAGGCGGCCUUCUGGACUGACACUGACACUGAGGUGCGAAAGCGUGGGUAGCAAACAGG